GUGUUCCAAAAUCUCUAGAAAUUUUUGACGUUAAUUUUUAUGUUUAUUUUUUAUUUUUCUUUACAGACGAAAGUGUUAACUUUAUGCAAAAUGACCAUGAAGAAAUGACAAAUGGGGAGGAAGCUAGUAGCCCUGCCAAGAAGAAGAAGAAAAAGAAUAAGCAAGGAUCAGUUGCUGUAGAAGAGAAUGAAGAAAAUGAAGUCGUCGAGGCUGCAUCCCCGAAGAAGAAAAAGAAGAAGAAGAAGAGUGCAGGCCUUGAAGAUGUAAUGAGCUGAUGUGCUAGUUGCAAAAUCGUACAUCGAAAACUUGGCAAACACUGAUUCCAGCAAACAAAAACCACUGACCAAACGGGAAAAAUUAAUGAAACACUUGGAGCUCGUUCAAUCCACUAUCAGCGAGAAGAAGAAAAAAAAAGUGUGAACACAUGAAAAGAAAUGAUGUUCUUAAUUAGUUUUUAGUAGUUAGACUUCCCUUGUCCCCCUCAGUUUCUCAUUUUUUGCAUUUCAUUGAUAAUAUGUAUAAGCAUACAUACACAAGCAUAUAUUUUUCAGAAGUAACUUUUCUGUGUUUUUCAAGAGAAACUGUUGAAUUGUACAAUUAUUUUAUUUCUUAUCUAUAAUUUGUUUUCCUUGUUCUUGACCACACUUUUCAUUUCAUGAUGUUUUUGCUGUAAACCAUUUUAUCGAGAGGUUGCUU
rnacentral:lncRNA from 1 species